rnacentral:rRNA from 1 species
UACGAAGGGGGCUAGCGUUGCUCGGAAUUACUGGGCGUAAAGGGAGCGUAGGCGGGUUGUCAAGUUGGAGGUGAAAGCCCAGGGCUCAACCUUGGAAUAGCCUUCAAAACUGACAGCCUGGAGUAUGGAAGAGGUAAGUGGAACUCCGAGUGUAGAGGUGAAAGUCGUAGAUAUUCGGAAGAACACCAGUGGCGAAGGCGACUUACUGGUCCAUGACUGACGCUGAGGCUCGAAAGCGUGGGGAGCAAACAGG